rnacentral:ncRNA from 1 species
UGGUCGGGAGAGCCGCAUACAGCGGUUCGCUGGAGAUAACCUCCACCCGGCUU